AGCACGAAUGGCUGAAAUACCAGGUGUUCUCUAUGAAAAGAAGGGAAAUAAUAGUAGUAUUAUAAUGAUAUACUAAAAUAUAAGCAAGUUUCAAGUGCAGAAGAGUCUCUAUACAGUCACUUGGCCUGUUAAAAAUAGCAGCUUAAUCUCUCUCAGUUCACACUACUGCUUUACAAAGAUAUAUAACUCAAUUGUGUUACAGAAAUGAGAUCCAAUUUUAAAUAACAAUGGAAGGAGUUUAUUUAUAAGUGAUUCACCAACCAGAACAAAGACUGAUAUGAUAUUUAGCAAUUGGAAGGGUACAUGCUCAAUUAAUGGCGAGCUUUGUUCUGGUUGCCCAGUUGCCCAGGACGUUUUGAACAUAUGAUCUGAAUAUAGAAAACUUUAAUAUUUUAUCGCAUAAAAUUGAUUUCUUUUGCAUAAAAGCUUUUACUUUUUGUUAGCAUAAGUUAUUUGUUAGCAUAACUUACUUAAUGCUUUGCAAAAUUGUUUAAUCUGUUUUGACUGAAAGGAGGCAUUU
rnacentral:lncRNA from 1 species